rnacentral:snoRNA from 1 species
UUUCAUGAUGAUAUAAUUUGCGAUCGACCUCGUUAUGAUGGCACCCUCGCCGGGGUAGCUAUAUCUUAUGAGUGGAUGACAUUCAAUCUUACAUAUUCUGAAC